CAUUUUUUCUGAGUGUUCUUUCCCUUACAGGGGCCAAAAAGGUGGUUCAGCUGGGGGAGCUGAGCAAGGAGCCUGACUGGUGGUGCAUGCAGUCCUGGGGGAGAGAGAGUGCUGCAGGAGCAGGUGGGUCUCUCCACAAGCCUCCAUCUUGGAUUUUGGGGA
rnacentral:lncRNA from 1 species